ACUUGGUUGUGUGGCCAUUUGUGCAAGAGGUCCCUAAAGCGCUCCCAUGUCUCGAAAAAUAGUUCUCCAUCCAAUUGAGAGAAACUAGUUAUUUCUUUCCUUAGCU